rnacentral:rRNA from 1 species
CCUACGGGGUGCAGCAGUGAGGAAUAUUGGUCAAUGGACGAGAGUCUGAACCAGCCAAGUAGCGUGAAGGAUGACUGCCCUAUGGGUUGUAAACUUCUUUUAUAUGGGAAUAAAAUGUUCCACGUGUGGGAUUUUGUAUGUACCAUAUGAAUAAGGAUCGGCUAACUCCGUGCCAGCAGCGGCGGUAAUACGGAGGAUCCGAGCGUUAUCCGGAUUUAUUGGGUUUAAAGGGAGCGUAGGUGGAUUGUUAAGUCAGUUGUGAAAGUUUGCGGCUCAACCGUAAAAUUGCAGUUGAAACUGGCAGUCUUGAGUACAGUAGAGGUGGGCGGAAUUCGUGGUGUAGCGGUGAAAUGCUUAGAUAUCACGAAGAACUCCGAUUGCGAAGGCAGUUCACUGGACUGCAACUGACACUGAGGCUCGAAAGUGUGGGUAUCAAACAGGAUUAGAUACCCGUGUAGUC